UCCACCUACACAGAAAUCCCCUUGUCCUCUACACCAAUAAAGGGCCCAGGAUUGGGACCUCGCAAGAGACCUCGACUGGAGUUGGAGGAGGAACAAGCAGAGACGUCGACAGAAUUUGAGGAGACUCUGGGUUCGAGUUACCACCCUGAUGAUACUGUAGAAGAAUGCGACGUAUCGUAUCACUAAUCCUAGGAUAAUGUUUGUCCAAGAAACUUCUGAAACUUACACAGAACAAGGACUGUGACACGAAGUUGAAGAGGUGGCUGCGCAGCAUAAAAAACCACGUCUACUGGAGUGCGACGAGCACAACCUCGGGGCCGGAGAAGGUGGCAAGGUGGACGUCACUGGUCAACCACCUACAAAACGUUCACGUGCAUGAUGACCCCCUGUUCCCCAAGUGCACACAUCCUGUAGGAGCCGCAAGUGAUGCAAAUAAACCUUACCUAAAAGGUGGCUCAAUAACACUCGCCAGAGUUGAAACGAUACUCACCAACAAGAGAGUUCUCAAAGAUGUGCUAAAGCUAAGCCAUCACUACCAGACCUCAUCCCUGGAGUCCUUCCACAACUUAAUUCUGCGUUUUACCCCAAAAAAUGUGGUUUUCCCCUUCAUUUGAAUGUUGUGCAGGUCGUGUCUAGCAGCAAUGCAUCACAACGAGAAUGCUGGGCGUGACCAAGCGACAACUGCUGCAGGAAAACUUGUCUUCAAAUUGGCUUAUCCAAAAUCAAAGAGGGGAGAGUGUACGGUCAAGCCUGUUAAGAACGACCCUACAUACAUCUAUGUGGAUGAGCUGACGAGGCUUGUGUUUCACAAAGUCUUUCUGGACCCUAUACCCUUUGUGGACGAGCU